rfam:Homo sapiens chromosome 8 genomic contig, GRCh38 reference assembly alternate locus group ALT_REF_LOCI_1.
GCUGGGUGUGGUGGCUCACGCCUGUAGUCCUAGCUACUGGGGAGGCUGAGACAGAGAAUCGCUUGAACCCAGGAGGCGGAGCUUGCAGUGAGCCAAGAUUGUGCCACUGCACUCCAGCCUGGGUGACAGAGCGAGACUCUGUCUCAA